CAAUAGCGUAUAUUAAAGUUGUUGCAGUUAAAAAGCUCGUAGUUGAAUUUCUGGUGGGCGCGCCGGUCUUCCAAGUGUUGUACUGGGCGCAGUCCGCCAUCCUUGUGGAGAGGGCUCGCAUUGAGUUGCGUGUCGGAUCUGCAUCAUUUACUGUGAAAAAAUUAGAGUGUUUAAAGCAGGCUGUCGCUUGAAUACAUUAGCAUGGAAUAAUAAGAUAGGACUUCGGUCUAUUUUGUUGGUUGCGAACCGAGGUAAUGAUUAAUAGGGAUAGUUGGGGGUAUUCAUAUUUAAUUGUCAGAGGUGAAAUUCUUGGAUUUAUGAAAGAUGAACAACUGCGAAAGCAUUUACCAAGGAUGUUUUCAUUNA
rnacentral:rRNA from 1 species